CCUACGGGAGGCAGCAGUGGGGAAUAUUGGACAAUGGGCGAAAGCCUGAUCCAGCAAUGCCGCGUGAGUGAUGAAGGCCUUAGGGUUGUAAAGCUCUUUUACCAGGGAUGAUAAUGACAGUACCUGGAGAAUAAGCUCCGGCUAACUCCGUGCCAGCAGCCGCGGUAAUACGGGAGGGAGCUAGCGUUGUUCGGAAUUACUGGGCGUAAAGCGUGCGUAGGCGGCUAUUCAAGUCAGAGGUGAAAGCCCGGGGCUCAACCCCGGAACGGCCUUUGAAACUAGGUAGCUAGAAUCUUGGAGAGGUUAGUGGAAUUCCGAGUGUAGAGGUGAAAUUCGUAGAUAUUCGGAAGAACACCAGUGGCGAAGGCGACUAACUGGACAAGUAUUGACGCUGAGGUACGAAAGCGUGGGGAGCAAACAGGAUUAGAUACCCUGGUAGUCCACGCCGUAAACGAUGAUAACUAGCUGUCCGGGCACUUGGUGCUUGGGUGGCGCAGCUAACGCAUUAAGUUAUCCGCCUGGGGAGUACGGUCGCAAGGAUUAAAACUCAAAGGAAUUGACGG
rnacentral:rRNA from 1 species